GACAGAGGGUGCAAACGUUGUUCGGAAUUACUGGGCGUAAAGCGCGCGUAGGCAGCAGCGUGUGUCGGGCGUGAAAGCCCUCGGCUCAACCGGGGAAGUGCACUCGAAACUGCAAGGCUAGAGUCUCGGAGAGGAUCGUGGAAUUCUCGGUGUAGAGGUGAAAUUCGUAGAUAUCGAGAGGAACACCGGUGGCGAAGGCGGCGAUCUGGACGAUGACUGACGCUGAGACGCGAAAGCGUGGGGAGCAAACAGG
rnacentral:rRNA from 1 species